GGCUCACCAAGGCGACGAUCCGUAACUGGUCUGAGAGGAUGAUCAGUCACACUGGAACUGAGACACGGUCCAGACUCCUACGGGAGGCAGCAGUGGGGAAUAUUGGACAAUGGGCGAAAGCCUGAUCCAGCCAUGCCGCGUGUGUGAAGAAGGUCUUCGGAUUGUAAAGCACUUUAAGUUGGGAGGAAGGGCAGUUACCUAAUACGUAUCUGUUUUGACGUUACCGACAGAAUAAGCACCGGCUAACUCUGUGCCAGCAGCCGCGGUAAUACAGAGGGUGCAAGCGUUAAUCGGAAUUACUGGGCGUAAAGCGCGCGUAGGUGGUUUGUUAAGUUGGAUGUGAAAUCCCCGGGCUCAACCUGGGAACUGCAUUCAAAACUGACUGACUAGAGUAUGGUAGAGGGUGGUGGAAUUUCCUGUGUAGCGGUGAAAUGCGUAGAUAUAGGAAGGAACACCAGUGGCGAAGGCGACCACCUGGACUAAUACUGACACUGAGGUGCGAAAGCGUGGGGAGCAAACAGG
rnacentral:rRNA from 1 species